rnacentral:rRNA from 1 species
UACGAAGGGGGCUAGCGUUGCUCGGAAUCACUGGCGUAAAGCGCACGUAGGCGGAUUCUUAAGUCAGGGGUGAAAUCCUGGAGCUCAACUCCAGAACUGCCUUUGAUACUGAGGGUCUUGAGUUCGGGAGAGGUGAGUGGAACUGCGAGUGUAGAGGUGAAAUUCGUAGAUAUUCGCAAGAACACCAGUGGCGAAGGCGGCUCACUGGCCCGAUACUGACGCUGAGGUGCGAAAGCGUGGGUAGCAAACAGG